CUUAGAAGGAACUCUACAAAUUCUAAGUAACUGGCUAUUAUUAAUAAGAGUAAAAAAUCUACUAUACUUCAAUAAAAUAUUUUAAGACAAAAAAUAGGAAGUUGCAUGGUAUAGCCGAGUUGACUCACUAAAAUUUUAUUUACAUAAUUUUUCUAAUAUGAAAAUUACUUGUUUUCAGCCCCCCUUCACAAUUGUAUUUUAAAUUAAGGUUAUUAAUGUUUUAACCUAGAUCAUAUAAUGGUAAAUUAAUUUUUUAAAUUUGAUAUCCGUACUGAACUUGGAAAAACUGAUUUGGUCUUCUCCGAUUUCAAUAAGUAUUGUUGGAUUUCUUUGUUACAUCUUUGUGGUCAAUGGAUCCUGUGGAAAUCUGUGUUCUUUUUUUGUGAGGGAUGGGGUAGAAAAGAGGAGAGUAGUCUAAUUAUACAUAUGCAGAGAGUAGUCUAAUUAUGCAUUUUGACUAUAUAAAGGUAGUUGUAGAAUUAAUAUGUAUAAAUGACAAAUUAACACUUACCUAUUGUGAAUUGUUCUAAGGAACAGUGGCCUGAAGCCAUGGCUUGUUUUGUGGAGCUGCUUGCUCUUUAAUAGUAGCUGACCAAUUGGAUUUAAGUUGAGACUUUGAGGUUAGGUUACCAAGCUGAGGCUUUUAGGAAUGGAGCAGACCAUGUCUGUUCCUGUAGUGAAUCGAUUUAAUUUCCUCUUUGAAUACUCUAAUUUAGAUAUAUGUAUUGUCCAUUCUAAAUCUUUGUGUUGGGAGUUUUAUAAAAUUGUUUUCAAAAGCUAUUAAGAAUAAACACAAGUGUAUGUAAAACAUUUCACAGAUGGUUAAAAAUUUCAAUUUUUUUGUUUUAGUUUCAAAGGUUAGUUAUGUAGCAUCAAUAUCAUAACCAAAGCAAGUAGGACAUUGACUGGUUUGGAGAAUCUUCAAGUAGUCUUAAAUACUGUAAUGUAUCAGAUUGUUAACCAGGAUUUUUUUCCUGUAUUUCUGCUAAAUGUAUUACUGUAUUAAUGCACUUUUGUAUAUAUAUCUGUCUUCUGUACAUUCUGUACUUACUUCAGUGUAUAUAAAAGCUGUUUUUCCUGAAGCUGUGAGGGAAAAACAAUAGCUGUAACACAAGUCACUUCUAUUUUGAGUUUCCUCUUGUACUUGAAAGUAGUCAUUCAGUAGUUAAAUCUAUAUAGUAUGUACGGUUGUAAUUAAAAUGGUAAUGUGGCAGAGCUGUCUUUUAAAACUGAUUAUAAGAAUGAAAAGUGUUUUAGGUAAGUCCCAAUUCCCCAGAUGUCACUGGCAAAUCUCUUUUCUCCUGGAAAGAUCAGAUUUCUAGAGACAUUAGAAUUCAUAGUAAGUGAAAAUUAGGUCUAACGUUGUUUACAAAAACCAGAUCUAUUUUCCUUCUAGAGUU
rnacentral:lncRNA from 1 species